rfam:Capsicum annuum cultivar Zunla-1 chromosome 9, whole genome shotgun sequence
UGAUGAUGGUGAGAGCAAUUUCUAAGCAUACUUUUAAAUCUCUCCCAAGCUUGGUAGAGAUUCUCUCCUUCCUUUUAUCUCAAUCUCAGAAUCUCACUUCUCAAAUA